rnacentral:rRNA from 1 species
UAAGUACCCCGAGGAAAAGAAAUCAACCGAGAUUCCCCCAGUAGCGGCGAGCGAACGGGGAGCAGCCCAGAGUCUGAAUCAGCUUGUGUGUUAGUGGAACGGUCUGGAAAGUCCGACGGUACAGGGUGAUAGUCCCGUACACCAAAAUGCACAGGUUGUGAACUCGAAGAGUAGGGCGGGACACGUGGUAUCCUGUCUGAAUAUGGGGGGACCAUCCUCCAAGGCUAAAUACUCCUGACUGACCGAUAGUGAACCAGUACCGUGAGGGAAAGGCGAAAAGAACCCCGGCGAGGGGAGUGAAAAAGAACCUGAAACCGUGUACGUACAAGCAGUGGGAGCCUCUUUAUGGGGUGACUGCGUACCUUUUGUAUAAUGGGUCAGCGACUUAUAUUCUGUAGCAAGGUUAACCGUAUAGGGGAGCCGAAGGGAAACCGAGUCUUAACUGGGCGUUAAGUUGCAGGGUAUAGACCCGAAACCCGGUGAUCUAGCCAUGGGCAGGUUGAAGGUUGGGUAACACUAACUGGAGGACCGAACCGACUAAUGUUGAAAAAUUAGCGGAUGACUUGUGGCUGGGGGUGAAAGGCCAAUCAAACCGGGAGAUAGCUGGUUCUCCCCGAAAGCUAUUUAGGUAGCGCCUCGUGAAUUCAUCUUCGGGGGUAGAGCACUGUUUCGGCUAGGGGGUCAUCCCGACUUACCAACCCGAUGCAAACUGCGAAUACCGAAGAAUGUUAUCACGGGAGACACACGGCGGGUGCUAACGUCCGUCGUGAAGAGGGAAACAACCCAGACCGCCAGCUAAGGUCCCAAAGUCAUGGUUAAGUGGGAAACGAUGUGGGAAGGCACAGACAGCCAGGAUGUUGGCUUAGAAGCAGCCAUCAUUUAAAGAAAGCGUAAUAGCUCACUGGUCGAGUCGGCCUGCGCGGAAGAUGUAACGGGGCUAAACCAUGCACCGAAGCUGCGGCAGCGACACUAUGUGUUGUUGGGUAGGGGAGCG